rnacentral:rRNA from 1 species
UACGAAGGGGGCAAGCGUUGUUCGGAAUUACUGGGCGUAAAGGGCGCGUAGGCGGCUUAUCAAGUCAGGCGUGAAAUUCCCGGGCUCAACCUGGGGGCUGCGCUUGAUACUGAUUGGCUUGAAUGCGGGAGAGGAUAGUGGAAUUCCCAGUGUAGAGGUGAAAUUCGUAGAUAUUGGGAAGAACACCGGUGGCGAAGGCGGCUUUCUGGACGGUAACUGACGCUGAGACGCGAAAGCGUGGGGAGCAAACAGG